rnacentral:rRNA from 1 species
CCUACGGGUGGCAGCAGUGGGGGAUAUUGCACAAUGGGGGAAACCCUGAUGCAGCGACGCCGCGUGGGUGAAGAAGCGCCUCGGCGCGUAAAGCUCUUUCAGCAGGGAAGUAAAUUACGGUACCUGAAGAUGAUGCCCCGUCUAACUCCGUUCCAGCAGCCGCGGUAAUACGUAGGGGGCAAGCGUUAUCCGGAUUUACUGGGUGUAAAGGGGGCGUAGACGGCGUUGCAAGUCAGGAGUGAAAGCCUGGGGCCCAACCCCGGGACUGCUUGUGAAACUGUGUGGCUGGAGUGCAGGAGGGGCAGGCGGAAUUCCUGGUGUAGCGGUGAAAUGCGUAGAUAUCAGGAGGAACACCGGUGGCGAAGGCGGCCUGCUGAACUGCAACUGACGUUGAGGCUCGAAAGCGUGGGGAGCAAACAGGAUUAGAUACCCUUGUAGUC